GCUCCGGUAGCUUAGUAGGUUAGAGCUUCGGCACAUAAGGCCGACGCUUAGUGGGUUAGAGCGUCGGCCUUAUGUGCUGAAGGUUGAGGGUUUGACUCCCUCCUGGAGCA